rnacentral:rRNA from 1 species
AUGAACGCUGGCGGCGUGCCUAAUACAUGCAAGUCGAGCGAACGGACGAGAAGCUUGCUUCUCUGAUGUUAGCGGCGGACGGGUGAGUAACACGUGGAUAACCUACCUAUAAGACUGGGAUAACUUCGGGAAACCGGAGCUAAUACCGGAUAAUAUUUUGAACCGCAUGGUUCAAAAGUGAAAGACGGUCUUGCUGUCACUUAUAGAUGGAUCCGCGCUGCAUUAGCUAGUUGGUAAGGUAACGGCUUACCAAGGCAACGAUGCAUAGCCGACCUGAGAGGGUGAUCGGCCACACUGGAACUGAGCCACGGUCCAGACUCCUACGGGAGGCAGCAGUAGGGAAUCUUCCGCAAUGGGCGAAAGCCUGACGGAGCAACGCCGCGUGAGUGAUGAAGGUCUUCGGAUCGUAAAACUCUGUUAUUAGGGAAGAACAUAUGUGUAAGUAACUGUGCACAUCUUGACGGUACCUAAUCAGAAAGCCACGGCUAACUACGU